CAACAAGAACGAUGAGGAUAGCACCACAGACAGGAGCCUCCCUGGGCCAACCUUAUGGCAGUUCACAUUGCGUACAUGCUUUGGACUCAACCAAAUACCCAAAGCCACCCCUAGGCAGAUCCAACAGGCUCAUCAGGGCCCUUCUAUGUUACGACAGGAAGUGAUUCUGGUGGAGCCUGGGCCAUUCCAACUCCUCUUCCUCCUGCGCUCGUCCUCUCGGCACUCACUAUCUGACUGGUCUACCUCGAAGCCCCAGGCUCCACCUCUCCACGCCAGAGUGAUGGACAGUGUGCUCCGUGUAGAGAAGAUCAUCUGGUAACGGGCAGUCAUUGUUCCUUCACCCCCUUGGGGCGAAGGCCUUCUAGCUGAGUGCCUCUGUUGACCUCUCCCAUGAUGCCAUGCAGGUCACUAAGCUUUAAUAACCUAAAGCAUUGAGCAACAAUAAGGCGUUACCACACAUCUAACGGGUAAAGGGAGUUGGCGAUCCAGGAAGAAGGGCUGCCAUGGAAACAGCCUCUGCAUGAGGGAUGGCGCCUCUGCAUCGGGAUGUGGAAGAAGCCAUUGUCAUCACACAAGAGAGGAGGCAGAGUGAGGAGAGCAAUGGGCAUGAGAAUGACAACAAUGUUACAGAAGUCAAGAGAGACGAAAAACAACUCCAGAUUUAUGUUGCCCACAGAUCUUUUCUGCAAACACUGCCCUCAAAACAAAGUCGUAAAUGAAGGAGAGCACAAGAGGCUUCAAAGACAUCAAAAGAUGGCAGAGUAUGGUACAUGCUUACAAUGGCUCCCCCUGGGCUCCCAGGACAGGGUCCAGAUGCAGAAAGGCUGAGCAUGUCAACAGAAACUGUAGUUAAAGCCAUUUUUGAUACAAGAUAG
rnacentral:lncRNA from 1 species